rnacentral:tRNA from 1 species
UGGAUGAUGGCACAACAGGUAAAGCAUAUGCCUUAUUAUGCAUGAAACCCUGGGUUCAAUCCCCAGUAAUACAC